UGAGAGCAGCUCCCACACAGACAGUUUUUACGCGGAGGAAUGUACUAGAAACCUAGCUGACAGACUCACGGGAUUUAGGAAUGACAGACAUUUUCAUUUUAGGAAAGUAACCUAACAUUCUUUUGUGUUUUCCCCGGGACAUCCGAGGACUGCCACAGAGUUCUCUGGCACGCAGAAAGUAUAAUCUUCAACCGGUGAGGACAGAGGGACACCGGAGGAAUCAUUCCAAGCAACUCCGCUCAAACAAUUUGCUUGGAGUUCUAUUUGCAGUAGCAUGUCUUGUGUCACUGGUGUCACAGUCUUAUGCCACAGGUGGUGUGAAUACAUCUCUCUCUACAGCUCAGAGCAACUUGUCUCUGUGUUUCAUCUGCAAGGAUGAGAGGUGUCAUGAUGUGAAAAAGAUUUUCAACUCAAUGAGAGAUGACAAACUUUGGAUGCAAAGUACUGCAAUGUCUGCCCUUCUUGGCUGUUCCCUGACCUCGUGUCCCUCUUCUGGGAAGUGUGUGCCAUGUGUUGAUGACCGCAAUAUCUACAUUGUGUGCCUUGACAUGCCCAAGGAUCUCAAACUAGAUCUGGAGGACGGUGAUGGCAACUUCUUUUCCAACACUGAAGCCACGUGCCCUAGACUGAAGGAAGCUGGACCUGUUGGUCGAGCUGGACACAACAGUGGAGUCAGAGGUCUUGCUGGGKAUCGUGGUGAGUAAAGAAAASRCACAGAACAGCAAUGCUCGAGCUUCAGCGUGCGRYCCGAGAAUAAAGAUACAKACUCUGAAUACUUGGACGUGGUUGUGUGUGCGAGAGAGACUUUGUUGUUCGUAGAGGACAUUCUACAAAUCACAUCUGAAGAUCAGCAAUGGGUAGUAGUGUAUAUCAGUGUUAGAUGAUUCAUUUUCUUUGUGUUUAACUGCUCUCCCUGUCCUCUUCUCCCACACACAUCCAACUGCCCCCACUUCAAUCUCUGAUGGCACUGGGGUCUUUAUACGAAGGAGAAAUGAUCGCUAUUGGAAUGUUAGCAGCUGCCUUCAUCUUUGUCAUUGUUGCUUAGUACAGAAGCAAGACCAAAUCAGUGACCUGCUAAAUAAGAGGGCAGAGAGGAGAGGGAAUGCAAAGACGGGAAGAACAGCAAGUCAUACCUACUUACUGCAACAAAGAAAGCCAUUUGGAAGCAUGGUUUGAUCAGGAGGCUCACUUGAAGACAGUGGAUCUACUACCAUCUUGAUAUCUUAACUCUGGAGAGACUUCACCAAUAGAAUCCAGUGAGCCAAGGCCAUUACAAUAUCCUACUGCUCAUCAGCCACCUCCUUUAUAACAUCCAACAUGUCAUCCUUAGUUUGAUUUGAUUAGGCACAAUACAAGCCGGGAUUUCUGGCUGCUCUAUUAGCAGAGGUAUUUCUCUGUUGUGGUUGUCUAUUCGUAUGUUUUUAUGUAUGCUGUCAAUGUUUUAUUAUUAUUUGGAAAAACCCUACCCUGCCCCCCCUUCCUCCUGAGAAGUGAUCAGCAGCCAUACCACACUCUGACCCCACCCGCUACCUGAUCAUCCUGUCCUCUACCGUUACAGCCUGCUGAAAACAGGAAACUACCGUAGAAAUGUGUAUAUUUGCAUAGCAAGUCGGUCAUACCAGACUGUUUAAUUAAAUAGAAUGUUCUGGAUCCCCUCUCUGACACCAGCCUGAAACAUGUGACCUCACAGUAUAUCUACAGUCUGUGCCAAAUGCUUAAGAACUAUUAGAGAAGAAUAAACACACUUCACAAUCACCACUAUAAUCUAAAACGUUAGACUCACAACUUUCACAUUGCCAGAGACGUUGGAAAACAAUGAGCAGACAGCUGUGAAUAUCAGAACAAAUAAACAUGGUAAUAUCCUGAAUGUGUAGCUUGUAGAGAGACACAGGAAGUGUGGUGUAGAGACACAUCUCCAGGACUACACCCGGGAAACCCCUACAGUCUUCCAAUGAUGGCCCAAGGUUAAGUUGCUGCUGUGUGUGUGAGAGAAAAAAUGUGAGUUCUGUCUGAGGAGAACAGGGCAGGUGAGGCUACAGAACACAGAGGUGUUACAGCUCGUUGGAAACAUCACUAAACUGUUUAGUUAAAUAGGAGGUUCUAGAUCCCCUCUAACACCAGUGUGAAACAUGAGACCUCACAGUGCCUACUGCUCCUUGCAGUGCAAUAAGUGGGCUGCUCUACUGCUACUUCUAUUUCUAGCUUGAAAUACACUUGUUCACGUUACCAUACUAGACCUUAUUGGUGCUUUACAUGUAUAAGGAAUGUAUAUGUUAGGGUCAAUAGAGGGCGGAUAACAACUAGGUGUAUGGAAAGUUACUGACUGACAAUGGGGAGUGCAGAAAUUGUACAUUCUUUCAAAACAUGCUAUUGAUAAAUCUCAUGGCUCGUAAAGAGGGAGGCACAGGGCAACAGUCUUGUUUCAGUCACUGAAAAGGUAGGACAGUCGUAGAGUAGUGAGGAGCGAGGGAUUCGGCCCGAGGUCAGGUCAGAUGAAGUGAGAAGGAACAGUCCUAUUACACACACACAUACUUCGACUCCCACAAAUGUUCUAUUAUCAGGCAGGGCCAUGACUACACCAGUGAGAGGAACCAAUUAAGUUCCUGACUUAUGUGAAGGAUGAUUUUGUUCUCUUUUUAACAAAAAUAUGCCUUAUAGAAAUAGGACAUGUUAAUCACAAAACAUAGCGUGAUUGCAGAAAAGCUGUUGAUAAUCUAGGGUGUCGAAUGUGCUAACCACGAGGUUGAGACAAGAUAGAAAAUUCUCAGCUACACAACAAACACUUCCGGAUAUCUGGAUCCUGUGUGCUGUGCGGCUGGGACCAGCCUGGGCACCACCGAUAGGCUAGCAAGUUUAAACCACGCUAAGCCUCUACUGUGAUAGGCCAACUCUGAAGUUGGAACUACAUCAGUCACAGUAUAAAAGAAGAUGUCUGUACUAUUUCAGUCAGUUCCCUGCUUUACCCUGCGUGGUGAUACAGUGAACC